UUUUUAUUACUAAAGGCCAAAGGGUAUACCUAUCUGUUUCUUUCCAUGGCAGUAUCCAACUGCACCACUGAAAGGUAAUUUUCCGCGCUUAAAAAAAUAAAAAUUAAUUUAUUGGAAGAAAAACUCAACGCUUUGUCCAUACUGUGUAUUAAGAACCGCAUCACAAACGAACUAGACUUUGACCACUUGCUAAAAGAUUUUUCCCAAUUAAAAGCUCGAAAAGAACUGCAUUAAAUCAUUCGUACUAUUUAUUUAUAUAUUGUAACUUGUAAGAUUAUAUGUAAUACAAUAUUUAAAUUAAAGUGUUAAUUAAUAAUUAUUCAACCAUAAUACCUUUGAACCAUUUCUCACUCCCGGGACGGCUAUACCCAAUUACCCAUCACUCUUCGAUGUUAGCCCAUUAAAAUUACGAUCUUUGGAUAGUAUUAGAAAAAGGGGGGUGGUAAACACUGAGCGUGCCUCAGGGCGCUGAGAAGGUUAAUCCGCCACUGCUUCGCAGGAAGGAAUAUUUCGGAACCGUACAUAAAAUAAUUGCCUAUAUUGGCCCCCUUUCUUUUCAGCUCAUCGGAGUGAGAUGAUUAGAUAAAGAUGGAUGAAGAUAGCUGUUUCUUCGGCGAUGGCGGCACUCUAGCUACGUUUCACCGGAAGAGUAGAUGUUUACGAUUCUGGCUGUAUUCUGGAGCGUUUCCUCAUGGGCGUCGCAGUUCACACACGACACGGAUUCCGCCGAAGGAAUCGAUAAUUAAAACUGAACUUUUGGAUCGGAGAUAUGAAGACGCGCGCUGCAUUUUGCUUGGCGGAGACGCACAGCUCUGACACUACCAAUAUUAUACACUCAAAGGGAACGCGUUUCGCCGGAAGAAUAAAUAAUUACAAAAAGAAGCUGAUAGGACUUGGUGGAAAAACGGUAAAGAUUUUUGUCAAACGAAUAAUGCAAUUUCUAUUUACGGACAGCCUUUUAAAGUUGUACUCUUUCCAUGGCAGAGGAAAUAAAAAGAAAUGUUUUUCCAAUCUUGCAAUAUCGAAAGUCAUAUUUAAUUCAGUCAAGUGUUUGAAAAAAUUUCAAAGUGAAACCAUUAAUGAAGAGAUCGAACAAUUUAUAAAAUAUGCACUCAUUCAAGCACC